GGCAAAACAUGAUGCUUAGCAGCGUCCGACGUAUAAAUUCUUUGAUCCAAUCUAAGGUCGAAAUCAAUCUUGGACGAGCCUAUGAGAUCUAAGAGAAAAAAUAACAUCUAAAUUAUUCGAUGGCAGACGUAACAAUUUGAAGAGAAAUCGACAACGGAUGUCGUCAUGCAUGCCUGGGUCACCCCGAUCUCCUAGUCAUGAGUAUUAUUUUUCCAGUCUCUACUCCUAAUAAAGCAGUUGGUAGUCUCCGCUGAUCAAUUUUUAUCCCAUCAUUUUCGUCCGGUUUUUUUCCAUAGGUUAACCUUCGUAGGUUAUUUUGGUUCCGUCCACCACCUCCCCUCCGCUGGGUUUUCCGUCGCGACAGAACCAAUCCCUCGCUAGCCCUACCUCAUCUCCCGUCUCCAGUCGCAGCCGCCGCCGCACCCCAACCCAACCCCGCCGCCGCCCCCCUCCCUCAUGGCUCUGCUUCCUCCUACCCUGCCCCCCUCACGUGGGUGUGGUGAGCUUCCUACCCCUGUGCACAUCUCAUCUAAUCUCAUCAAAUCUAGAUUUCUCUGGACGUAUUUAUUGUUCUGGACACAACUUGGUUCUCUUUAGUUUGAUGUCACUCCUUUCCUGCCGGAGUGAGUCAGUCAAAUACUCCUACUAGCAGUAUAAGAUGUUUGCUGACUUUGAAAAAUGAUAGAUAGUAAAAAAACGCUAAUGAGGUUGUGCAGCGGCGGACGUAUGACUGCUACCUGCACAAGCGGAUGGCCCUGCGAGCCAGACCAACCUCCAGCUGCUGUGGCGUACCACGGGUAGAUUUAUCCCAACGAGGAAACAAGGAGCCCAAAAAUUAAAUUAAAACAAAUCGACGCCAAUAGCGAUGGGGCGCCGACAGACCAUGACGCUUGAAGAUAUGGAGGCGACAAAUCUGUGCCGAUCCCCUCUUGGUGAUAACUCUAGCCGAGCCCCUCUUGGUGACAUUCCUAAUCUUGAGCAUCCUUCCCAAAUGACUCCAGUGCCCGUGCCAGAUCCAAGGCAUGGAGAACUCCAAGGAGUUUGCUGACAAGCUGUUCGGGAUAUGUCGAGGCAGAGGAACAUUGAGCCGGAUGAAGGCAUUAACAAGGAUCGGCUCAGAGAGGUGGAACAUGAACAUUGAUGGGAUGCUCACAGAAGAUGAGGUCAAGAAGGUGGCUACGCAAAUGAUCACAGAGAAGACUACUGCUGGUUCGUCUUCCCCGCCCUUUAAAUAUGUUCACGUCUGCACAUCAAUCUAUCGAUAUUGUUUGGGAUAUUUUUCCAGGGCCUUUUGAUCGACCAUGCCAUUCAAAAAGCUCUUUAGUGCAGUUUGCAACAACAAUAAUCAGAGGAUUGGUCGUUUGUAAGGGUGGAUAUCUCAGAGGUGGCUGCCACCCGGAUUGGAAUUUAAUUCAAUCUAUUUCCCUGUCUGAAGUUCCAUACUAGAUGUAUGUUCCUGUGAUAUGAUUUGUUUAUGGAGAUGGAGAGAUGUGACUUUCAGAGUGACAUAAAUUCAGAGUCCUUCUAUUGAAAUCUAGAGGAUCGGUUGCAUUUUUGUUGAGGUACUAGAAGAACUUUGUUUUGUGUUAACAAUGGUGUCCUUUUGUGCAUUGA